rnacentral:lncRNA from 1 species
GCUAAUUUUGAGGAUAAAUGUGGUUGAGAGGUCCUUUGAAGGACCGCUGAAUUCAUCUGCACCCCCACGGCGGCGCCCGACAGUCGACGAUGAUUUGAUCGACGACGAUUUGAAUGAUUACGAGAAUGAUGUCGAUGAUACAAGUAAUAUGAAAGAUUAUUCUAUGAAUAUGGAAGACUUUUCAUCGGAAUCGCAAGAUGAUGAAGAAGACCGUGAAACGAAAUCACAAGCAGGACACUCCUUCACUGACGAAACCAAUUUCUGUUGUGGUCAAACAUUCACCGAUAAAAAAGAGCUGAAAAUACAACUAGACGCAGCAGCGAUGAGGCAGUCUUUUGAUUAUUAUAUGGAGAAGAGCUGCACGAAAUUGAUGAAGGCGCAAUGAUUAUCUCGUGGUUGUGGCUGGCUGUUGCGGGCAAAAAAGUACGACACCUCAGACAGAUUUCACAUAUACAAGUAUGUCGAAAUGCACACGUGCGGUGUUGAAAAUGCCACCCGCAGGCAUAAAAAAGUCUUAUCCGAAUUGAUUGCUUCAGUAUGCGUAAAUCAUUUUCGGGAUGGUAAGGGUCCAAGCAUAAGAGAAAUUCAAAGAAUUGUAUUUAAGCAGUUGCAUUGCAACGCAAGCUAUUGGAUGUGCUGGAAAGGAAGUGUAAUUGUGAAGAACAUCAUUCAGGGGACACCGGAGCAUGGAUAUUCUUGCUUGCCGGCUUUUUCCCAUAUGAUGGAGUUAUUGAAUCCUGGGUCUUCUUACUCUAUCAUGGUAAACCGGAUGGAUGGAUCGUUCGUUUACUACUUAGCAUUCGGAGCUUGCCUACGAGGAUAUGCACACAUGAGAAAGGUAAUUGCCAACGAUGCACACAUUUGUAUGGCAACUACGGGGGCGUUCUGCUGAGCGCCAUUGCACAAGACACCAAAAAUCAUAUAUUUCCGAUUGCCUUUUGUGUCGUCAAUAAAGAGAACGAUGCUUCUUGGACCUUCUUCUUCCAGAAGCUGAAGUCUAUCAUUAUUUUGACGAAAAAUUUUGACUUUUAGAGAGUCGCCACUUAAUUUUGAAAAGGAAUUAAGAAACCUUUGAAAAAUACUUAGACGAUUCAAAAUAGAAAAAUCGUUUAAGUUAGAGAUUCUAGAUAAAUGGUUCCUAUUAACGUUUUAGGAAGGUGUUAGGCACCUAAAACGUUCGCUAACUGGCGGUUAUCCAAUCUGUUUGAAAACAUUCUUUUGACUAACUUCAAAAGAAGAUUGAUUUUUGAAAAGGAACUCGAUUUUAGCGAUGUUUUGACGUUUAUGCAAAACUAGUUUUUAGCGACUUGACUAAGGGAUUAACUAGGUUCACAAGAAACAUGUAAACAAGACGGAAAAGGGAAAGAGGGGAGAAGUAGUGAUUUAGGCUUUUAAGCCCAAACCGUCGUCCCUGUCCUAAUCUAAUUUUUGAGUUUUUAGCUCGAAACUUGAUCCACCUAUAUUAAGCACAACUUUGGCUUCGAGGCCCGAAUAAAUGAAUAAGCAAAUAAAUAUAUAAGUAAAGACGACAAUAAGUAAAUAAAAUAACAAAUGAGAUUUUGAAUCUUGUAGCCGCUUCAAAUAUGGGACUCUAACCCAUUCUUCUCCUUUUGAUUCCUUGCGUUAGUAUUGUGCCAUAAGAUUGAUGUAAUCGAUUUCAGGUCCUCUAAAGGAUGGGCCUCUAUGGCCCGUUGCGUAAUGCAAGGACAAAGAGCCCAAUUGGACUCCCAAAGUAGUUCGUACAAAAAGAAAAGAAAAAGAAUCAGUAUUUAUCCAAAGGUGUCACGUGACAUAAUGCGGAGGCAAAUGGCCCAAAGUUUCUAGAAUUAAAGCAAACAUUCCAACUACAGAAAAUCUAGCAACAAGUGAGAGCAAUAUCACUGGAGAAGAGAGCUAUUGGUGAAGACAAGACUAUAAUGACAAAGGUGUACCAAAAAUGAUAGAAUUAGAUUAGGAAAAAAUCUCACUUUAUCAAACUUAUUAGCUUGUAACUGUGGUUCAACCAAAUUUUGACCUCUUUUUAAUUGAGAAGGGGAAGAUAGGGAGAAGGAAACCAAGCAGAUUAUUCGAUCAUAUAAUGAAUUAAAGGGUAUAAUAUAAUCCAUUAAUGAUCUUGAAUCACCACAAAGCAACACCAAACUAGAACAUGGAAUUUGAUUUUCCACUGAGACUUGAAACGUUAGGAUAUGGAUCAAAAAUAAUUUAUUUUUAAUCGGUAAAUUAAAAAAAAUUUCAAUCCAAAUUUUGAAUAGGAGAAAAAGUGUGUUGAGGCCGAAGAAACCUUUAACCGUGAAAAGAAAUUUUUUUUCACUUGACCUAAUGUUAAAGAAAGAAACACAAGGUUAAAGGAAAGAAACUUUCAGUUACAGGGGUGUCACCAUUGAUUUUUUUUCAGCAACUAAGCAACACAAACAUAACUUAUUCGUAGAAGAAUAGUAAAACUAGCAUUGUGACACCAGGAUACGAAGCAAUUAGUCAAAUAAUAUCAAAUUGGAUCCUAAUGUUGAAAUAUAAAAUAAUAUUUUGAUGACCUAUUCAAAAUCCACGUUGCAGUAAGUUUGAAGACUAACUAAACACCCAUUAUGAGACGAAAGCACUGAUUUAAUAGUUAAGCAAAUGAAACGAUAAGUCGGAAGAAAAUUAUACGUAUAAUUUUCACCAAGGCAAAGUUAAUACCAAAACGAUGAUUGAGAUCCACCGAUAGAAAGUGUCGACAUAAAUAUCAACCUAAACAACAUAUUCAGGCAGAUGCUUAAGACAUUAAUGACUAAAAAAUAACAUCACCACGAGACAGUAAGCUUCAACCCAUUGAACUGACAUAUAGGAGAUUGACGAUUAAUCGGAAGGUUAUAAUACAAAUAGCAAUGCAACAAACAAACGCAGCGACAAUCAUUACAAAUAAAUCUUAUAGCCAUCGAAUCCAUCUACAAUAGACGACUCCAGGCAUUCUAUGACUGAUAACGGUGCUAACGAACAAUGAAAAGAAAAUAUUAAAAUUAAUAGGAUGAGGAGUUUACCUCUUUCGGAUCAGAAAAUGGGGCGCGAACCUAUAAUGAAUGCUCGACCACCAUUACUGGAAGGUUCCCGAAGAGAGAUUUCUUCAUUCUCACCUAGACAACUUAGAAAGGAUUCUUUCAGAACACCAAAUUUCACUCCCUAAUUUUUGAGGCUCUAAUUUUUCCCUCUUCUGAUUUUCCCAACCCUAGACCCCUAGGUUCCCAGUGAAGAAUCCAAAAGAAAAAAAAUCCCAAAAGAAAAAAAAAAUCCUCCUGUGAGCAGUGACCAACGGGUCUAUUUAUAGAAAACCAAUUAGGAGGGGUCUGUUUGGGAAUUUUUCUCGAAAAGAUCUUUUGAAAUUCCAUUCCCAAAUCCCUCCUACAACCCAUUUUCGUGCCCCAGAAUCGUACCAUCUUUUAGGUUUUUUCCCCCAAAAAAUGAAAUGGGUGGACCAAUAGAAUUGGGGGAAAAUGAAUUCUUCCCCAUAUCCAAUGAAAAGCUACCAAGUAUGUACGAAAUCGUACCGUCGUUAUUGAAAUUUAAGGAAUUUAUCCGUUAAGGGGACACCUACGCGUCUUCUAGAGGAUUCUUGGACUGAUUUUGUAUCAAAAAUCAUGCUAAUCACAUGAGGAUUGUAUGAACUCGAGUAAAGGUAAGGGCGUUAGGACGAGAACAAGUUGGAUCAGGUUCGGGUUCGGGUCACCGUUGAAAUGGUUUGAUUUGGGGACUGGAUCGUUCCUAGGUUUUUAGUGUUUGAAUAUACGAUGUUCUUGUGGAGAAGAGGGGAUAAGAAGGAUAUUUGAUGUGGGCCGGGUCAGUAUAUAUUUGGGCCUGGGCAAUUAGGAGUAAUGGUUGGCUGAUUAGUAAAGGAAAAAGAUGUAUUGGGCUUAUGAUGAAAUUGGGCUGGGAAGAAUUAUUGUGGUUGGUGUUGUAUGGGCUGGGCUUGGUUUAAAAAGGUUUGGGUUGGUGGGGGCUGGUUUUGUAUGGGUUAAAUUGGGAUGAAGGAUUUUGGGAAUUUGGGUUAAAUUUUUGGAUUGCAAUUUAGGCAAUUACUUUAAAUUCUAACCAAUUUGAAUAUCAAUUGAUCAAUUGUAUCCAAUUGGGGUCAAUUUGAUUUCAAUUAGAGUCAAAUUUAAUAAAUUGACUAAAUCAAAUCGAAAUUUGAUACGAAUUAACACCUUGUUUAAUAUUGAGCUUCUUGAUUCGAUAAAAUUAAACAAAUAUUUAUUCAAAUAAAUUAUUUUUUAGAGAAUAUUAUAUUUAAAUCAAGAUUUCAACUGUUUGAACUUAUUUUUAAAAAAAUCCUUGAUUAAAAUACGAUAUUCCAUAAAAUAAUUAUUUAAGUAACCAAAUUACAUAAUAUCGUAUAAUUGAAUACGAUAAUAUAUAAUUGUUACUCAAAAUGACAAAUUUACACAGAUGAAUAUUUUUGAAAAGUUUCUAUUCAGACGAAAUAAAUAUUUUGAUUUUAUUAAAAAUUGAAAAAACUUGAAAUUAAACUUAGUUGUGAAGGGCAAAAAUUAGGUGUCAACAACUGCCCCCCCUUGGGUAGGGUGGAUGCAAGUAACCCUGGACAAAGGGAGGUUGAUGGUCCUAAUUUUUGUUCGACUGCAAAUUCACAUCUGAAAGAGGUUGGCUUUCGUACGAGUUUAUGGAGUUAUGGCCGAACCUCGAUAUCGGGUUUCCUACAUAUCUCAGGUUUUCUGAGAAUUCAGGCCACUUGUAGUUCAUAAAGCUUGAUUUUAAGCAUGAUUUUCAAGAAAAUUCACCAACUAUCUCAGUUUUAGAGUUUUUGAUAGAACCGAGAAACUGGGGAAUAAAGGGAUUAGGGGGGAGGUUGGAAUGAAGUCGAGUUUUCUACAUAGAGUCCAGCCUACAUAUUCCCGAGACUCAGAGAAUCAGACUACUUGUAGUUCAACUCAAUCGGUAGAAAAGAUAGUCUUUUAUUUCAGGCGAUCUUUUGCUCAAGAUGGGUGACAAGUAGAUUGAGCUGCAGAAAAGAGUCUUGUAACCUCUUAACCAUGAACGUGGAGCUUGUCACAUCCAUAGGUAAGAACUUACCCGAACAUAAUUUCCAAAACUCUAAGUAUGUUGCCAUCCGAAUUUGAAAGAAAGAGAAGGUUAACCUCGGCAUGAGUUUGGAAAUAUCCCGAAGGUGAAGCUGAAACCAGAAUAUCCUUAAAUACCCACAUGCCUUCUAACAGGGGUAUGGUUGGAUGGUGGUGGUGAUCAUCCUUUAGCUCGCGUCCAAAGAGUUUGACGCCCCUCUUUAGACUAUGUCCCGUUUUGCUGCUAAGAAAAAGUUCCAUGCUGUGCUGCGUCCUAUUUGAAGUCGUCCGCACCUGUGGUUUUGAUUUGAGAUUUUUAUCCUUUCGGAUGCUCUCGACAAUGCUUUAAGCAAAAAGUGUUAGUGCUAAACAUAAUUCGCGAAAGAGGUACGUAGUCUUUUACCAUAUCUCCACGUUAGUUAUGGCCUGAAAAGCGGAGUCAUCUCUUCAUGUACCUAUUUUGAAUGAAAUAACUGGCAAUAACAAAUACAACAACCCUCUUGGUUUUUGUAUAAUUAUGACAUUUGUCGGUUGAAUAUGCCUUUAAAGUGGGGUGGCCCUUUUGGACACCGGUGAUAUUUUUUGCAGAACGGUCCCUACAACCGUGUAAUCUUAUGUUGGUGUAGCAACCCUUUUGGUUACCUAUAUCACUUGUUGUAUGUGGAUUGAUAACUCCGGUUAUAGUUGAUGACUGAUUUAUAAAUUUCCUUUAAAUUGUCAAUCUUUGGAUAAUCUUGUGCAUUAUUUGAUGUUGGAUACGAGGCGACUUACAGGUAUCCUUUGAAUUGUUAGCUUUUACGUAAUCCUGGACGUUAUUCGAUUUUGGAUAAGAGAUGGCUGACAGAUAUCCUUCCAAUCUCUAGCUUUCAGGUGUUCCUGCACAUCAUCCAACCUUGGAUACAACAUGACUUAUAGAUAAUCCCUUAAAGUGUUAGUCUUUGGGUAAUCUUGCAUAUAAUCGAUCUUGGAUAUGACACGGCUUCUAGAGAACCCUCAAAUGUAUCAAUUUGAUAAUCUUGCAUAUUCUCCAGUAAGGAUUUAGUUGCAACUUAUGGAUAACCUUCGAACUAUUGACUUUUGGGCGAUCUUUCACACUAUUUGAUUAGGAUGUUGUUGUGGCUUACGGAUGACCUACUGCCUAUUAACUUAUAGGUGAUCUUGCACAUUAUACAUUUUAAAAUAAUAUGACUUAUAGAUGAUCCUCAAAUUGUCAAUUUCUAGAAAACCUUAUAUAUUAUUCAUAAUUAGAUAAUGACUUAAAGGCGUCCCUUCAAAUCGUGUGCUCUUGAUGCAUUCAGAUGCUGAUUCAUAAAAUGAUGAGAUAUCCUCGAUGCCAGUGUUGCGUCUAGCGCGUCAACAGAUAUAUUGAAUGCUGAUGAUAUCCUCACGCCAGCGUUGUGUCUAGCGCGUCAACAGAUAUAUAAUGUCCUUUGCGGAAAUAAUAUGUAAUGGCCUUUGUGGCAAUAAUAUAUAGUGGCGUGUGGGGCAAUGAUAUGUAGCGGCCUUUGCGGCAAUGAUAUGUAAUGGCCUUUGCGGCAAUGAUAUGCAAUGGCCUUUGCGGCAAUGAUAUGUAGUGGCCUUUGCGGCGAUGAUAUGUAGUGGCCUUUACGGCGAUGAUAUGCAGUGGCCUUUGCAGCGAUGAUAUGCAGUGUCCUUUGCGGCGAUGAUAUAUAGUGGCCUUUGAGGCAAUGAUAUGCAAUGGCCUUUGCGGCAAUGACAUGUAAUGGCCUUUGCGGCAAUUAUAUGUAAUGGCCUUUACGACAAUGAUAAAAUAAUUUUACCUAAAUUCAUUCAUCAGUGUCCUUCUUUCUAUAUGUACCUGUACUCAAGGUAGACGAUAAGUAGACAUAAAGUCGCUUUUGCUAGCGACUGUUUUUUAGAAAAAUUCUAAAUACAAUAUUUGUAAAGAAGACAAGACACUUUUGUUUGUCCUCCAUGAUAUCAAGAAAUGGGAUGGACACUUCAAAAGGUCUUCGAUAUAUGGGUACUAAACCCAUUUUUAGGGCUACCCAAAAAUACCGUUCUUGAGCAUUAGUGCUCUGGUGUGGCUCCCAAUUUGCUCGGAGAUUUUUGAAAGAGACUCUCAUUUUUGUGUAUUGGUCCCUGCAUCCACAGAAAAUGAUUAGUUUGAGUGAAACUACUCUGUGUUAACCUUCUUCAAUCCUUGAUUUUCUCUUUGCCACCUCUUGGGCAUUCCACCAUAUCGGGACUUCCACCCUGACACUCCAUCUCAAAUGAUGUCUAGGCAAGUACUAAAUAAGUGAGUCAUAGGAUUUUUUGAAAAUAGUCUUAAAUUUUUGAAAAUAAUUUAGAAUAUUUCUGUAAAACUUUAGAAAAUAUUUGCCAGUCAUGUCAUGUACUAGCUCAACAAACGUCUUUCUCGUGGUUUUGACCAUAUUCGAUGGAUGGUUUACAAAACUCAUGAUCAUUGUUGGAGGGUUUCUUCAUAUAGUUCUAUCAUAGCCUAAAAUUGAGUCUACCCAUACUUUGUUAUAGUUGGUGGCUUCCAAAGCUUGACUUUAACCUCUGGUGCUGGGGAAUUUGGAAUAUGUUCCGGCAUUUGGUGGAAAUUUUGAGGUCUUCCUCAAAAUUUCUGCCCCAGUUUAAAGUUGUUUGAGAUGAUACCAAUCCGAGUGGAUCUGAAGUCUUUGCUGAUCUUCAUUUUUUUUGUUGGAUAUCGAUCUCCUCUUGUGAAUUUUUGAGAUUCCUUCUCGAAAAUUCUACCCUAGUUUCCAUUUUCUGGGGUUAUAUGACCGAUCCAUUGGGGCGCCUAUGUAUCCCGUUGAAGCAGGAAUCAGGUCAAACGUAGUUCAGGACUACGCUAAGGAUAUAUAGAAAAAUCUAAUGGGUUGACCGAAGCUGACAUAGGCCGCCUACAUAUCCCGUUGAAUCAGGAAUCUGGUCAAAUGUAGUUCAGGACUGCUCUAAGGAUAUAUAGAAAAAUCUAAUGGGUUGAUCGAAGCCGACAUAGGCCGCCUACGAAUCCCUUUUGUUGGGAAUUCAGGUCAUCACUUAGUUCAUACAUAAGAGGAAAGGAUAAAUUAUCCUAAGGGGUUGACCGAAGCAGACAUAGGCCGGCUACGUAUCCCUUUCUUGGGAAUUCAGGUUAAACGUAGUUCGUACAUAAGAGGAAAGGACUCUAGACAGUCACAUACUAGAAAACAACAUUAUUACAAAGGCGAUUACAAGUAAAUUAACUAAAGAAACACAAAAGCUAGAAUGUCUUUCAAACAUAAUAUCUCUUUAUCGCAUCGAAAUUGAUUGGUUUAGUCCACUCCGUGCCAUCCAUCUCAGACAAAAUCAGAGCUCCUCAGAUAGUACCUUGCGAACUAUGUAUGGCCCUUGCCAGUUUGGAGCGAACUUGCCCUUGUACUCCUCUUAGUGAGGAAAUUCGUUUGAGAACCAGUUGCCCUACUUCAAAUGCCCAAGCCCUCACCUUCUUGUUAAAGGCACGAACUAUCCUGUGUUGGUACAACUAACCAUGGCAUAAGCGACCAUUCUCUUUUCAUCAAUCAACAUGAGUUGUUCAUACUGAGCACGAACCCAUUCUUCGUUACUUAGUCCAUCUUCCUAAAUAAUCCUUAGGGAAGGUAUUUCAACUUCAGCUGGUAUCACAACUUCAUUCUCAUAGACAAGUAAAUAGGGGGUCCCCCCGGUGGAGGUUCGAACUGUUGUGUGAUACCCUAGCAAAGCGUAAGGUAACAUCUCAUGCCAUGAUCUAUAAUUUUCGACCGUAUUUCUCAAGAUCUUCUUGAUAUUCUUGUUGGCCGCUUCCACAACUCCAUUUAUUUGGGGACGAUAUGCAGUCGAGUUGCGAUGCACAAUCUUGAACUGAUCAUAAAUUUCUUUCAUCAAGUGACUGUUCAAGUUUGCCCCAUUAUCAGUAAUGAUCGCUUUCGGUACUCCAAACCGGCAAAUCAAGUUAUUCCUGAUGAAAUCCGCAACCACUUUCUUAUGACAGCUCUGUACAAAGCCGCUUCAACCCACUUAGUGAAAUAGUCAAUGGCAACCCAAAUAAAUCUAUGUCCAUUCAACGCUAAUGGCUCUAUUGGUCCGAUGACAUCCAUACCCCAAGCUACAAAAGGCCAAGGCGAAUUCAUUGUGUGACGCUCGUGUGGAGGCAUUCGAAUCAGAUAUCUGUGUAUUUGACAUUUUGGACAUCUCUGCACAUACUUACUACAAUCAUUUUCCAUAGUCAUCCAGAAGUAACCGAUUCUCAGGAUCUUUCUGGAAAGGAAAAACCCAUUCAUGUGGUGCCCACAAAUUCUAGUGUGUACCUCUUUUAUCAAUUUAUUGGCUUCCGCAGCUUCGAUGCAUCUUAGGAAUCCCAAAUUAGGAGUCCUCCUAAAAAGAAUUUCCCCACUUGGAAAGUAAUUCUUUGCCAAACGCCGGAGUGUCUUCUUUUGGUUGUUACUAGCCUCUUCAGGAUAUAUUCCAGAUUCCAAAUACCUUUUAAUGUCAUAGUACCAAGUCUUUCCAUCAGGAUCCUCUUCCACGUGUAUACAAUGAGUGGGUUGCUCCUUCAAGCUUAUUUACAAAGGAUCAAUGUAACUCUGAUCCGGGUGCUGAAUCAUGGAAGAUAUAGUGGCCAAAGCAUCAGCAAACUCAUUUUGUAUCCAUGGGAUAUGCCUAAAAUCAACUUCCUUGAAUCUUUCACAUAAUUCUUGCACCAGCUCCACAUAAGGAGUGAUCUUGGAAUUUUUUACCGCCCAUUCUCCCCGUACCUGGUGAAUCAGCAAAUCUGAAUUCCUAAUGACUAACAAUUCAUGAACACCCAUAUCAAGUGCCAAUUUGAGACCCAGAAUGCAAGCCUCAUAUUCAGCCAUGUUAUUGGUGCAUGGAAAACGUAACUUAGUAGUUACCGGAUAAUGCUGGCCCGUUUCUGACACCAAAAUUGCUCCAAUUCCUGAACCUUUGAAGUUGACCGCCCCAUCAAAAAAUAGCCUCCAUCGGGGGUAAAUCUCUGUAAUGUAUUCUCCUACGAACAAAACUUCCUCAUCUGGAAAGUAAGUUUAAAGUGGCUCAUAUUCCUCAUCAACUGGGUUCUCUGCCAAAUGAUCUACUAAGGCUUGCCCCUUGAUUGCUUUUUGGGUUACAUUCAUAAUGUCAAACUCACUCAGCAACAUUUGCCACUUGGCUAGCUUUCCCGUAGGCAUGGUCUUUUGGAAAAUAUACUUUAAUGGAUCCAUUCUCGAGAUGAGGUAUGUUGUGUAGGACGAUUGAUAAUGCCUCAACUUUUGUGCCGUCCAAGUCAAAGCACAACAUGUGCUUUCUACAAGAGUGUAACGGGCUUUAUAUGGCGUGAACUUUUUACUCAAGUAGUAAAUGGCUUUCUCUCUCCUACCGGUCUCAUCAUCUUGUCUGAGGAUACAUCCAAAAGUAUUUUUUGAGACUAAUAAGUAAAGCAAUAAUGGAAUUCCUUCUCUUGGUGGAACCAAAACCGGCGGUGCAGACAAGUAUUCCUUGAUGUGGUUAAAAGCUCUCUGACAUUCUUCUGUCCACUCGUUCAAUACAUUUUUAUUCAACAUCUUGAGAAUUGGGUCGCAUAUGACUGUUAACUACACGAUGAACCUGCUAAUAUAAUUCAAACGACCCAUGAAACUCAUAACUUCCUGCUUAGUCUUCGGCGGUGGCAAAUCUUGAAUUGUCUCUAUUUUGGAUGGGUCUAACUCGAUGCCUCUUCUAUUAACUAUGAACCCCAGCAACUUCCCUGAUGGCACACCAGAAGCACACUUAGCAGGAUUUAAUUUCAAACUGUACAUUCUUAAUCUGUUGAAAAAUUUCUCCAGAUGAGUCAGAUGAUCCGAACUCUCGUGGGAUUUGAUAAUUACGUCAUACACGUACACCUCAAUCUCUUUAUGGAUCAUAUUAUGGAAAAUCAUCUUCAUAGCCCUCAUAUAUGUUGCACCCACAUUUUUUAGACCAAACGGCAUUACCCUGUAAUGAUAAACACCCCAGGGUAUAAUAAAAGCCAUUUUUUCUGCAUUUUCCUCAUCAAUCAAUAUCUGAUGAUACCCGACAAAACAAUCAAUGAUACUGCAUUUCAUGUUUUGCACAAUUAUCAAUGAUAAUGUGGAUGUUGGACAACAGAAAAUUAUCUUUAGGACUGGCUCUAUUUAAGUGUAUACAGUCAACACAAAUUUGAAUCUUACCGUCCUUAUUUGGCAUAGGGAUGAUGUUGGCCAACCACGUUGGAUAUUUUGUGACCUCGAUAACAUUAGAUUAGAUUUGUUUUGUCACUUCUUUUUGAUCUUUAGACUUAAAUCUAGAUUAAAUUUCUGCAUUUUUGCUUGACUAGAUCAAACUCUGGAUUUAUUGGGAACUUAUGUGACACAAUGUUGGUGCUCAACCCUGGCAUAUCAUCAUAAGACCAAGCAAACACGUCGAUGUAUUCCUGCUACAGGUGGAUGAGCUCUUUCCUUUGUGGCGUCGCCAGGUGGAUACUGACACUUGUCUCUUUGAUUUCAUCGUGAUCUACCAAGUUGACUGUUUCAGUUUCCUCCAGAUUGGGUUUUUCGCGAUUCUCAAAUUUUUUCAUAUCUUCGACUAAUCAUUCUUCAUCAUCGUCCUUCCAAUUAUCAUUGUUCCCCUUAUUUUGCUCGUUCAAGCUUUGACUUGACACGACAUUGGAAAAUUUUAAGUUACUGUUACUGUAAUGGACAAACAAACCAAGUUAGAUGAUAACAAGAUAAUAAUAAAAUAUAUGACUAGGAGUGUUUUAGAAAUAAUAGAAUUUUCUAAAUAAAUGAAGGCCUUUUCAUUGAAAUUUGGGAGAUAAUUAUAAAAUUGUGGCUCAUGACUUGCGCAAAUACAAGUCCAUGCCUUUUUGAAAGCAGUAAGAUACGAAAAGAAAGUUUUGAGAUAUAAAAAGUGGAUCGCGGGGCCUCCUCCGGAUCAUCACCGAUUUUAAAAACUAUCAGUAAUUUCUCUUUCAUCUAUUACGAUGGGCGACGGGUUAUGAGUGGAGCGGAGGUCCAAUUUUGCAAGGCCUCUCCUGGCAUAAUCUUCUCCAUCCCACUGGACUUUGGGAGAUCUUUUGGUAUAGCAUUGCAUCCUUCGAACAAAUCUCCUAUCCCAUUCCUAAGACCAUCAUCAUCUAACACCUCUCGUACUGGAAAUGACUGGAACAGGAGUGGCAAGGGCCCAAAUAGACUCCUCUCGGGCUCAUCCUCAACCCUAUCCUUUCUGGUAGGCUGAUAUCCUAACCCGUACUUAGAGCCUCUCUCUGGAAUCGCAAUAGGCUCAAUAAUUCCUUGUAAAUUCUUUCCCAAUCCUCGACUAGGUUCAAACCCAUUUUUUAACAUCACCAUUGCAAUCAUUUUGUAUACAGAAGGCAUUGAUACUUUGGGCGUCGAAUCUCUGUCCGCAGCAUUUACAAUUUCCACUGUAUAGAAACUGCUACCUUUUGGAACAUCUUCAAUCACCGGCACAUAACCAUUAGGACGGUCCACUCGACUUCCUUCUCCUUGGAUGACUCCUUCAUGAUCUUCCCAAAUGAACUUCAAUAAUUGACGAAGGGGUGAUGAAACUGCCUUUGCACCAUGUAUCUAUGGUCUUCCCAAGAGCAGGUUGUAGCUAGGAUGGAUAUGCAUAACAUGAAACUUAGUCUUGAACUCAGCAAGCCGCAUUUUAGAUGUGCAAAUCAAUCUCUCCUAUGGUAUCUCUCUGACCACCAUUGAAUGCUCUCAUAUUUACAUGGCUUUGACGAAUUUUUCCUAAAUCAUAGCCCAUUUGAACCAACGUAGAGAGGGGAUAAAUAUUCACACCAGAUCCCCAUCUAUUAAUACCUGAUUAAUCUCAUAAUCGUGGCAAAUAAUGGUGACAUGCAUGGCUUUGUUGUGCGUCGCUCCUUCAAAUGACAAUUCUUCAUCACUGAAUGAUAUGCGAUGAUUCCCCACAAUGUUCCCUAUCAUCGCAGCCAGAUUCUCAACACUCAUUUCUGCAGGAAGAUAUGCUUCCUUCAAGACCUUCGAUAAAGCUUGUCGGUGGUAUUGCGAACUCAUUAAUAGCGCCAAGACAGAUAUUUGGGCUGGCAUUUUCUCCAAGAGUUUGACAAUUGAGUAAUCCUUUCGUUGCAUACGCCUCUAAAAUUCCUCAGCCUCUCCUUCAGUGAUUGGCAUUUUUUGUGAAUCUUUUUUGUUGGUCAAUUCCUCAGGGAUGUAAUAUCAUCCCAAUCGCAUCAUACCUUGGGCAGCAGUGGUUUGCACAAUAAAUUUCUUUCUUGGUGGGGGAGUAUACACUUGAGUCGGUGCAGUCAUCACUAUAAAUAGGGAUUUCUCGUUGAUACUCAAGGCAUCUACAGCCUUCGCUAUCUUUCCUACCUCUUCUGCUCAUUUGUGCUUUCCGUAGGUCACCUGGGUAAUGGUCUUGCCAGAUGCCCAUUCGCCCUCUAUUUCAAUCAUGUUAACUGUAGAUCCUCCAUGGUUGGGCAAUGGAUUACUUUUAACAUUUGGUGUAGGUUCCUGGAGCGUGAUGACCUUCUGAUCGAUUAAAUCCUGGAUCCUAUGUUUUAGGUAGCCACAAUCCUCUGUACUGUGCCCCGCUGCUCCUGAAUGAUAGGCACAAUGUUGACUUGAAUUAAAAAAUCGAAAGUUGGUAUUGACAUGCCUUGGCUGUAUUGGUUGUAAAUGACCAAUAUUCUUCAAUCUGUCAAACAAUUAGGUGCGACUUUUAGCUAGCGAGGUGAAGUUUCGAGGAGGUUUCUUUUCGUGGUUUGGCCGUUGGGGGUUGUACUGGCUUUGAUUUGUAGGAGGAGGUACUUGAUGAUAAUUUAGAGGCGCUUGGAAAUUUGUUCAGUUAUUUGGAGGAAUGGAUUGGAAAUAAGACUGAUAAUUUGGAGGUGGAGCUGGGUAUUGGGGAAAGAUAUUAGGUUGUGGAGCUUGGUAUGAGGAUUGGAUGUUUGGGAAUGGAGUUUGGUACUGAGGUGAGGUAUUUGGCUGUGGAGCUUGGUAUUGAGGGUGGGCAUAGAAUAUAUGUUGAAGGCUUGGUGACGGCGGAGAAGAGAAAACAUUCCUAGAGUUGAACCUCUUUUUCAUUUUUGCAACAGGAUUAGCAAAAAUCACACCUACAUCUUCCUUUUUCUUCUUCGAGAAUAUGCAAGUCCCAGACGACGUCGGGAUUUUGGCAAUUUUCCCUAUCCGAAUACCUUCUUGCAAUGAUUCUCCUAUUUUUACCAAAUCCGCAAAAGUUGCCCUGACAGCGGACACCAUCCUAGUAUAAUAUUCUCCUUCUUGAGCGCCAGAGAACACGAAUACCAUUUCCUCCUCAAACAUGGGGGUUGCACUUUGGCGGCUUCUUUCCUCCAACGAAAAGCAUAGUCUCGAAAACUCUCAACAUUUCUUUGUUUGAUCCGAUCUAGUGAAUAUCGAUCAGGGACUAUUUCAAUGUUGAAUACAACCGGUCAAGCAAACCCUUGGCCAAUGCUUUCCAACCAGUCCACUUUUUUGGCUCCUGAGACAUGAACCACUCCAAGGCUUCGCCACUCAAACUUCGACUGAAUAGGCACAUCAAUAUUGCCUCAUUUUUCCCUAUUCCUGCCAGUUACUCACAGUACCUUCUCAAAUGGGCCACUUGAUUUUUGGUACCAUCAAACAUUUCAAACUUAGGAACUUUGUACCCAUCUGGUAGGUCUACUCCAGGGUGAACACAUAAAUCAUUAUACCCGAAACCGUCGUGGUCUCUGGCUCCAUGAAACUAUUUGAUCCUUAUGAUCUCUUUCUUUAUAGCUAGUAAAUUUGUUUCAUGCCGGGUCCUCCACUCUUUUUCCUUCUCCUUGUAAUGGUCCAUCUCGGGGUUAGGAAGGUGUUCAUAAAUAUCAGAAGAUAUGAUGGCUUGAGGGGGAUUUGGAAGGGAGGCUUGAUUUUGUGGAAGAAAGGAACUUGGCUGGUAAGUGGGGAGGAUGUUUUGGAAAUUGGAAAGGUUCUGUGGACUUUGCGAGUAGUUUGGUGAAAUAUGAGAAGGAUUUUGCGGAUUUGGAACUGAAUUUAAUGGAUUUGGGAAUAGAUUCGAUGUAUUUUGUGGAUUUGGGAGUGAAUCUUGCGGAUUUGGGAAUACAUUUUGUUGAUUUGAGAAUGUGUUUUGAGGAUUUGGAAAUGGAUUUGAAGACGGGUUCUGUGGGGUUACAGAUGGAUUUUGUGGAUGAUAGGCGUCUGGGUUAUUUUCACGAUUAGUAUUUUGGACAAAUGGAGGGGCGGAGAUAGAUGAUACGUUAUUUGGCUGAUCCCCGAGAAUAGGUGUGUUGAGGGGAGAAAUUUAGAGUGGAGUCCUGUGUCCUCCUGGAGCGGGGGCAUUAACAGUGAUGGCCAAGUUAGCCAAAUUUCGAGUGUGAUUUAUUUCUGCCUGAAGCAUUUCUAACUGUCUUGCAAGUUCUGCAAUCAUUUCAUUCUAUUCCGCUAUCAUAUUUUCCCGGAUAAUCAGUGCGCUUUCUUCGUCAUUUUCUGUCAUUUUUGAAUGAUGGUCAAAGGAUAGGAUUUUGUGUGCUUUUGAUAGAGUGAAGUAGCGAUGUUCUGCCAGCUUAUAUCAACAUGGAGUAGUUUCUAUUAUCUUUAAAGUAAAACAACUCAAAGGCAGAUGUGUUAGUUUUCGUAUAUGAUAAGUAGUGCAAAAUAUUUGGUCGGAAAUAACCACAUAGAGUUGUUUGAGUCAUAGCCAAAUUCAUCCGUAGGACAUAGUGGAUAAACUUGCCUUUGAUCCAAACAAGCACACAUAAGCACAUAAAACAGUUAUAUCACACAAUAACAUUAUAAUAACGUGUAUCCUAGCUGGGGUGACCCUUUUUGAGUUCAGGCCUAAUGACUUUUGAAGAAAAUAUAUGCGUCCUCGAAGUCAAUCCAUUAACCCCCAACUUAUAUAGGCACGAAAAAGGGCAUAAAUUCCUACAAAAGAUAACUAAAAAGGGAUACAAUCUUUAGGGGAAAAGGGAAAUAACAUGAAAGAAGAUAAGUUCCCGCGCAGGGGAAAUAGAAAAACUACCUACUAGAGGCUCCUUCGUCUGCCUUUUCCCUCUUUGCCUUGUUUACCUUCUAUACUAUUUGAUACCUAUUAAUGAUAAGAUGACUCCCGCAUAAUUGUUCCUUGCAUUCAUAAGUCAUUUUCCCUAUACUAUUGAGUUGGGAGGUCAUGCUAUCAUCCAAAUUGAUUAGACGUUGCUUGGCAUCAUCAGCUUCUUGCCUAGCUCUUUUCAACUCUUCCCUCGACAUACGUAUGGUUAAAGCGUCCUCCAUGUGUAUCUGCCGGUGCGUGAUUUCACUUUUCUGGAACUCAUCUUGUAGCCUGUGGAGCCGAAUUUGAUGCUUGAAUUCUACAUCCACAACUCGAGUGGGCACAUUUGGUCCCAAAAUCAACGCUUUGGUGAGACUCUUUUUCAACCAUUCCUUGUAAGUGUCGCUGACUUCAGGGUCAUGCUCUAUACAGAAAGUCACUUCCGUCCACCUUCUUCUUCUCUAUCCAUUUACCAUGCUGUCAUUGAGCGGAGACUCACUUUCAUCGUAUUUGGUGAAAAACCUAAGCAUGGAAUCUAUUUAUGGUGCCUCUUGCUUGAUCCCGAAUUGCCUAAGAACUUUGCCAGGAUUGUAGGAACGGGUCCCCCUGAGACCGAGAAGCAUUAGAAAAGGCCAUUUUCCCCCUUGAAUGGUGUAUUUCCCUGAACAAAGAGAGUUAAUGGACCAUUGCACAUCGUCAUCUCUCAAUUCCCCGAAAGUCUUAGACCAAAAUUCGUGAGAUGUUUUCCUUUUGAACUUGUGUAGAAACAACUACAUGUCGUGCGAAGCCAGCAUAUCCACCCUUGUUUUAUGAUCAGGUUGUACCAUUUUUGAAUCCUUUACCAAAUGCUUCAUCAUCCACCAUUGUAAUAUGAGGUUGCAACCUUGAAAGAAAUAAUUUUUGACUUGACACCUUCCCAAGGCUCGAUAUAUGUCGGCGACAAUCAUGGGAGCUAAAUUGUGGAAUACCUUGGUGGAAUCGUAAUCUACUCCGAAGAAAAGUGCAUGAGCCACCGUAACAACCCUUGGAUGAAUUAUACCAUUCUCCCCCUGUGGGAACACCAUGGUUACAAGUAGACCUACCGUAAAUGCAAAGGCUCUCAUCUCCUUCCAUUUUGCUUUGGACUCAAAUUUAUGUCCAAAUUUGUGGAAGACAUUGAAUCUUCCAAACCGAUGAUACAACUCUUGAAAAGUGAUAUUUGCUCCAUCACGUUCCCCUAUCCAGGUGUUGUCGUCAGUAAAAAUGCCUCUUUAAUUGUUUGACGGUCCCAUACGGCAGGAACUAAAAUGUUCUUAUCAGGUUUUUCCUUUCUUUUGAAACACAUUUCAAUACUCUCAUAGCAAAUUAACAUUUCUUCGAUGGUAGGAGUCAAUUCCACAUCCCUGAAGCGAAACACCACAUUCUGAUCAUCCCAAAAAGUGGUAAGCACGUGGAUUAUUUCGGGCCAAGUAUUCAUUUUGAUUAAUGAAGGAAGGUAUCCGAUAUGUAUUCUAAUAAUUUUUCUCUCUGCUGCACUCAUAUAGUCCCACCAUAGUUUCAGGUAAUCGUCGGGUUUAGUAACCAUAUUGAACUUCUCGUGAGAAUGUAAUUAAGCCAUACCCUACACGAAAGUAAACAAAGAUAAGCCUUCCCCCGUCCCCCAAAAGGUAAUGGAUUGAAUUAGACUAGCACAUAUUUUUUCAACACAUAAAUAUAAUUUGUCUGUAAUUGACUCGAGAUCAAUAAACACAGGGCAGGUUUUCUAAUGGGUCCAAUACCCCGCUCGGGUAUUGGGUCGUCCUAGGCUCAUGCCUAAAAUAGGGUUUUGGUUUCGCUCUAUCCUAGGUAGCUAGAGUGGGUUUGAACACUGGUUCUCAAGCGGACAACUUGAGUUUGAAAAUACAAACAGCCAUCAGACGACUCACGGGCUAAUAAACUGUUUAUAUUUCCAACAAAUUAUUGGAAUUGAUCAAUAGGGGUCGGGAUACCCACGAAACCCCAAAACAGUUUAUAUAAUGCAGGAAUAUGCCGCGAGUGCGAUAGUUAAACCAUAUAGAAUCGGAAUAUAUAAACACAUAAACAGUUAAUCAAAAGAUGAAAUCAAAUAUUUGGUUAGAACCUAGUUCGAAAAAUUCCCAGCAGAGUCGCCAUUUCUAUUUUGACGAAAAUUUUUGACUUUUAGAGAGUCGCCACUUAAUUUUGAAUAGGAAUUAAGAAACCUUUGUAAAAUACUUAGGCGAUUUAGAACAGGAAAAUCAUUUAAGUUAGAGAUUCUAGAUAAGUGGUUCCUAUUAACGCACUUAAUUUUGAAAAGGAAUUAAGAAACCUUUGUAAAAUACUUAGGCGAUUUAGAACAGGAAAAUCAUUUAAGUUAGAGAUUCUAGAUAAGUGGUUCCUAUUAACGUUUUAGGAAGGUGUUAGGCACCUAAAACGUCCGCUAACUGGAGGUUAUCCAAUCUGUUUGAAAACAUUCUUUUGACUAACUUCAAAAGAAGAUUGAUUUUUGAAAAGAAACUCGAUUUUAGCGAUGUUUUGACGUUUAUGCAAAACUAGUUUUUAGCGACUUGACUAAGGGAUUAACUAGGUUCACAAGAAACAUGUAAACAAGACGGAAAAGGGAAAGNNNNNNNNNNGAAAGAGGAAAGGGGAGAAGUAGUGAUUUAGGCUUUUAAGCCCAAACCGUCGUCCCUGUCCUAAUCUAGUUUUUGAGCUUUUAGCUCGAAUCUUGCUCCACCUAUAUUAAGUACAACUUUGGUUUCGAGGCCCGAAUAAAUGAAUAAGCAAAUAAAUAAAUAAGUAAAGACGACUAUAAGUAAAUAAAUAAAAUAACAAUUGAGAUUUUGAAUCUUGUAGCUGCUUCAAAUGUGGGACUCUAACCCAUUCUUCUCCUUUUGAUUCCUUGAGUUAGUAUUGUGCCAUAAGAUCGAUGUAAUCGAUUUUAGGUCCUCUAAAGGAUGGGCCUCCAUGGCCCAUUGCGUAAUGCAAGGAAAAAGAGCCCAAUUGGACUCCCAAAGUAGUUCAUUCAAAAAGAAAAGAAAAAGAAUCAGUAUCUAUCCAAAGGUGUCACGUGACAUAAUGCGGAAGCAAAUGGCCCAAAGUUUCUAGAAUUAAAGCAAACAUUCCAACUACAGAAAAUCUAGCAACAAGUGAGAGCAAUAUCAGUGGAGAAGAGAGCUAUUGGUGAAGACAAGACUAUAAUGACAAAGAUAUACCAAAAAUGAUAGAAUUAGAUUCGGAAAAAAUUUCACUUUAUCAAACUUAUUAGCUUGUAACUGUGGUUCAACUAAAUUUUGACCUCUUUUUAAUUGAGAAGGGGAAGAUAGGGAGAAGGAAACCAAGCAGAUUAUUCGAUCAUAUAAUGAAUUAAAGGGUCUAAUAUAAUCCAUUAAUGAUCUUGAAUCACCACAAAGCAACACCAAACUAGAACAUGGGAUUUGAUUUUCCACUGAGACUUGAAACGUUAGGAUAUGGGUGAAAAUAAUUUUUUUUUUAAUCGGUAAAUUUAAGAAAAUUUCAGUCCAAAUUUUGAAUAGGAGAAAAAGUGUGUUGAGGCCGAAGAAACCUUUAACCGUGAUAAGAAAAUUCUGUUCACUUGACGUAAUGUUAAAGAAAGGAACACAAGGUUAAAGGAAGGAAACUUUCAGCUACAGGGGUGUCACUAUGGAUUUUUUUUCCAGCAACUAAGCAACACAAACAUAACUUAUUCGUAGAAGAACAGUACAACUAGCAUUGUGACACUAGGAUACAAAGCAAUUAGUCAAAUAAUAGUAAAUUGGACCCUAAUAUUGAAAUAUGAAAUAAUAUUUUGAUGACCUAUUCAAAAUCCAUACUGCAGUAAGUUUGAAGACUAACUAAACACCCAUUAUGAGACGAAAGCACUGAUUUAAUAGUUAAGCAAAUGAAACGAUAAGUCGGAAGAAAAUUAUCCGUAUAAUUUUCACCAAGGCAAAGUUAAUACCAAAACGAUGAUUGAGAUCCACCGAUAGAAAGUGUCGACAUAAAUAGCGACCUAAACAACAUAUUCAGGAAGAUGCUUAAGACAUUAACGACUAAAAAAUAACAUCACCACGAGACAAUAAGCUUACACCCAUCGAACUGACACAUAGGAGAUUGACGAUUAAUCGGAAGGUUAUAAUACAAAUAGCGAUGCAACAAACAAACGCAGCGAUAAUCAUUACAAGUAAAUCUUAUAGCCAUCGAAGCCAUCUGCAACAGGCGUCUCUAGGCAUUCUAUGACUGAUAACGGUGCUAACGAACAAUGAAAAAGAAUAUCGAAAUUAAUAGGAUGAGGAGUUUACCUUUUUCGGAAUAGAAAACAGGGCUCGAACCUAUAAUAAAAGUUCGACCACCACUAUUGGAAGGUUCCCAAAGAGAGGUUUCUUCAUUCGCACCUAGACAACUUAGAAAGGAUUCUUUCAGAACACCAAAUUUCACUCCCCAAUUUUUGAGACUCUGAUUUUUCCCUCUUCUGAUUUUCCCAACCCUAGGUUCCCAGUGAAGAAUCCAAAAGAAAAAAAAAAUCCUCCUGUUAGCAGUGACCAAGGGGUCUAUUUAUAGAAAACCAAUUAGGAGGGGUCUGUUUGGGAAUUUUUCUGGAAAAGAUCUUUUGAAAUUCCAUUCCCAAAUCCCUCCUACAACCCAUUUUCGCGCCCCAGAAUCAUACCAUCUUUUAGAUUUUUUCCCCAAGAAAAUAAAAUGGGUGGAGCAAUAGAAUUAGGGAAAAAUGAAUUCUCCCCCAUAUCCAAUGAAAAGCUACCAAGUAUGUAUGAAAUCGUACCGUCGUUAUCGAAAUUUGAGGAAUUUAUCCGUUAAGGGAAAACCUAAGCGUCUUCUAGAGAAUUAUUAAACUGAUUUUGCAUCAAAAAUCGUGCUAAUCACAUGAGGAUUGAACUCUAGUAAAGGUGAGGGCGUUUGGACGAGAACAAGCUGGUUUGAAUUUGGGUUCGGGUCACCGUUAAAAUGAUUUGAUUUGGGGACUGGAUCGUUCGUAGGUUUUUGGUGUUUGAAUAUACGGUGUUCUUGUGGAGAAGAGGGUAUAAGGAGGAUAUUUGAUGUGGGCCAGGUCAG